GUCUACAGCCAUGCCGCCCUGAACAAGCCCGAUCCCAUCUGAUCUGGGAAGCUAAGCAAGGUCGGGCCUGGUUAGUACUUGGAUGGGAGAAUGCCUAGGAAAGAUCAGGUGCUGUAGGUU
rnacentral:rRNA from 1 species